rnacentral:lncRNA from 13 species
GUUUUAAUGACUGAAAGAUUAUAGCCUCCCACCUCCACCACUGUAUGUGAUUCCAAAUAAAAAUAUUAAUUGUCAGGCCCGGUGUGGUGGCUCAUGGCUAUAUUCCCAACCCUUUCGGAGUCUGAGGUGAGAGGAUCACUUGAGCCCAGGAGUUCAAGACCAGCCCACGCAACAUAGCAAGAUCUCAUCUCUACAAAAAGUUAUAAAAUUAGCUGGGCAGUGUGACAUGCACCUGUAAUCUUAGCUACUUGACUAGGUGGAAACAUCCCUUGAGCCCAGGAGUUUGAGGUGGAAAUAUCUCUUGAGCCCAGGAGUUUGAGGUUGCAGUGAGUUCUCAUGGCAUCCCUGCACUCCAGCCUGGGUGGCAGAGUGAGAUUCUGUCUCUAAAAACAACAACAGGGGGGAGGACUCAAGAUGGCGCUGUGAGAACAACCCAGGAUUGGAGCUCUCGUUGAAUCUGCAAACAGGGACAUGGAUGAAUCUGGAGAACGUCAUCCUCAGCAAAUUGACACAAGAACAGAAAAUGAAACACCGCAUAUUCUCACUCAUAGGUUCAGUGAAGAGGACAAGUCCUACCUUCUGGGAUCUCUUUUACUACUCCUUGAACCUGAGGCUAUGGCACCCUGCUACCACCUGGUGGCAGCAGACCCCAGUCACGGGGUCCACUGUUAGGCAAGACGACUCCUUUACAAAGAUUAUGGACAGAAAGACAACCAGACUUGAGGCGCCUCCUGAUGGAAUGCACAGCACCGUCUUGGUUUAGCCUUGUUAAAAAACCUAAAUCCAAUUAAGGCUCUAGAUCCAACUACCAGUUUACAGGAAAUAUAAGAGAGAAAGGAACAUGCUCAACAACAUCAGGCAGCAAAAUCCACACUGGAAAACUACAGGACAAAUAUCUAGUUUCCUACAAAUAAAUAAAUGUAAGGAAAAGAAAAAGUUGGAAGG